ACGAACGCUGGCGGCGUGCUUAACACAUGCAAGUCGAACGCUGAAGCUUGGUGCUUGCACUGGGUGGAUGAGUGGCGAACGGGUGAGUAAUACGUGAGUAGCCUGCCCUUGACUCUGGGAUAAGCCUGGGAAACUGGGUCUAAUACUGGAUACGACAUGUCACCGCAUGGUGGUGUGUGGAAAGGGUUUUACUGGUUUUGGAUGGGCUCACGGCCUAUCAGCUUGUUGGUGGGGUAAUGGCUCACCAAGGCGACGACGGGUAGCCGGCCUGAGAGGGUGACCGGCCACACUGGGACUGAGACACGGCCCAGACUCCUACGGGAGGCAGCAGUGGGGAAUAUUGCACAAUGGGCGGAAGCCUGAUGCAGCGACGCCGCGUGAGGGAUGACGGCCUUCGGGUUGUAAACCUCUUUCAGCACGGAAGAAGCGAAAGUGACGGUACGUGCAGAAGAAGCGCCGGCUAACUACGUG
rnacentral:rRNA from 1 species